GUGUGCAUGACCAACUGCCCAACUCUCAUUGUCAUGGUGGGCCUGCCCGCCAGGGGCAAGACCUACAUCUCCAAGAAGCUGACUCGAUACCUGAACUGGAUUGGUGUGCCCACUCGGGAGUUCAAUGUUGGCCAGUAUCGCCGGGACGUGGUCAAGACCUACAAAUCUUUUGAAUUUUUUCUCCCCGACAAUGAAGAGGGCCUGAAAAUCAGGAAAUGAGGAAACUGAGGCUCAGACAGGCCAGGAGUCUCGCACAAAAUAGCAAGUUUACAUCAGCGCCCAGACUUGAAUCUAAGCCCAUCCACCGCUAAAAAGUGUCCAUCAUUCCAAUAUUCCUCAAUAGGUUCAAGCAAUUCUUCUGCCUCAGCCAACAACCCCAAGCUGUGGACGCUGAUAGCCUACUGUCUGAUCUUCCCAGCAGCUUCUGUGGUGGGCGGUGCCUCACUUUUCCAGAUGCUGGGACCAAGGCCAGAAAGUGAUGGGGGUGCCUUGGGUCACUCAGGGUUUGAAUUUGAAGUCCGUCCUGCCUGAAUCCAUAGUGUUUGUGGGGAGAGUCUGCCAGCUGUUCCACUCUGGCUGUCCCCCUAAGGUAGGGAUAUUUGGGAUUAAUUCAAAUGAAGAGACCUAGACUCAGAGAGGUUGGGAAGCUAGUCCAAGGUCACCCUGCAACAGAAGCUGGGGACAGGCUCAUUGCUGCCUUUCUGCAGGCAUACCCUCUGGCUGCCCUAGAAACCCUCUCUGCUGUAUCCGAAUCCUGGCUCUGGCUGGGCCACAGGGCCAUCUCCUAUUAAUCAGCCCAAAAUUUCCCAAUUAGCAAAAUAAAAGGACCAGAGUUUUUAAAAUGGAAAA
rnacentral:lncRNA from 1 species